rnacentral:snRNA from 1 species
GUGCUUGCUUUGGGGCAGCACAUGCACUAAAAUUGGAAGAAAGUUAGCAUGCCUCCUGUGCAAGGAUGACAUGCCAAUUUGUGAAGCGUUCCUUUUUUUU